UGGGGGAUAUUGCACAAUGGGCGAAAGCCUGAUGCAGCGACGCCGCGUGGGGGAUGAAGGCCUUCGGGUUGUAAACUUCUUUUGCUCUGAACAAGGCAUGCCUUUGGGGUGUGUUGAGUGUAGGGGUUGAUUAGCGCCGGCUAACUACGUGCCAGCAGCCGCGGUAAUACGUAGGGCGCGAGCGUUGUCCGGAAUUAUUGGGCGUAAAGGGCUUGUAGGUGGCUGGUUGCGUCUGUCGUGAAAGCUCAUGGCUUAACUGUGGGUUUGCGGUGGGUACGGGCUGGCUUGAGUGCAGUAGGGGAGGCUGGAAUUCCUGGUGUAGCGGUGGAAUGCGCAGGUAUCAGGAGGAAUACCGGUGGCGAAGGCGGGUCUCUGGGCUGUUACUGACGCUGAGGAGCGAAAGCGUGGGGAGCGAACAGG
rnacentral:rRNA from 1 species